rnacentral:lncRNA from 1 species
UUUGUACCCAUUUCCCUCCCCUUCCUUGCCUUUCUCUACAUCUGAUGGUCUCUUUGCCUUGCCUCUUCAGAGGUUGCUGUAGGGUUUACAGUGUGUUCCUUCAUCUUACUGUCUAACUGGGAGCAGGAAGCGGGGUGGGAGGACUCGUCGGGACUGGCACGGAUAUCUGCCUGGGCCACGCAGGGGUUGCUCUGAGUUGGAGGCUUUGAAGGAAGAUUGACGCAGGUGACAGGCUGGGUGACGUGGUUGGUUUGGGACACGGUACAUUUAAAGUGCUUCUGAGGCACCCACGAGAGGAUGCCUGACAGGCAGCCCUACGCAGGUCCGGAGCUCAGACCAGAGGUCUGUGGAGCUGACCAUUGGGGUCAGUCUGGGGCUGACUGGGGAAUGGGCAGGGAGAUCCGCUCAUGACGAGUGUGUGAUGGGACGGGGAAGAGUCUGGCACCCACUUGUGACAAGUCCCAACAUUCAGGGACCCAUAGGAGGAUCCUAGGAGUGUGCACAGAGAGGCCAGGGAAGGAGCCGACCGAGGGCGUGUGUGUCGCGCUGCUGUGGAAGGAAGCGGCUCAGCAGCUGCUCUGAAGUGGGGCGUGAGGCCAGACAGGACAGAGUGCGAGGGAACCGAGGGCCCUCUCGGGUUCUAGGCCUUAACCCGGGGCAGGUAAAGGGGUAUCAUCCACAGCUCAUCAACGUAUCUUUAAACCACUCACAAGAAUGGUAGGUGGGGUAGGCGGGGUUGGCCAGGUGUGCACUGGGGCUGUCAUGUGAGUCCAGGGACCUCAGGAGACCUCUGUGGGUUGAGCGUGAUGGGGUCAAAUUUCAGUGGAGUGUGUGCUGACGGGGCGUGAGGAGGGUCAGGGGGCUGACUCUGCGUGGCACACAGCCAGACCCAGGGCUACCACAGUGAGCUGAGAGGAGAGGCGGUCCCUUGGCUGGGUCAGUGGCCAUGGUGGGCUCCCAUCCACCUGCAGGGCUCCCUGCCAUGGCACCUGUGCAUCCUGCUCUGGGAGCUGCCCACACGAG